rnacentral:rRNA from 1 species
GACGAACGCUGGCGGCGUGCUUAACACAUGCAAGUCGAACGAUGAAGCCGGAGCUUGCUCUGGUGAAUUAGUGGCGAACGGGUGAGUAACACGUGAGUAACCUGCCCUUGACUCUGGGAUAACUGCUAGAAAUGGUAGCUAAUACCGGAUAUGACCCUCGGAGGCAUCUCCAGGGGGUGGAAAGAAUUUCGGUCAAGGAUGGACUCGCGGCCUGUCAGCUAGUUGGUGAGGUAACGGCUCACCAAGGCGACGACGGGUAGCCGGCCUGAGAGGGUGACCGGCCAGACUGGGACUGAGACACGGCCCAGACUCCGACGGGAGGCAGCAGUGGGGAAUAUUGCACAAUGGGCGCCAGCCUGAUGCGGCAACGCCGCGUGAGGGAUGACGGCCUUCGGGUUGUAAACCUCUUUUAGUAGGGAAGAAGCGAAAGUGACGGUACCUGCAGAAAAAGCACCGGCUAACUACGUGCCAGCCGCCGCAGUAA